rnacentral:rRNA from 1 species
UGGGGAAUAUUGCACAAUGGGCGCAAGCCUGAUGCAGCCAUGCCGCGUGUAUGAAGAAGGCCUUCGGGUUGUAAAGCACUUUCAGCGGGGAGGAAGGCGUUAAGGUUAAUAACCUUGGCGAUUGACGUUACCCGCAGAAGAAGCACCGGCUAACUCCGUGCCAGCAGCCGCGGUAAUACGGAGGGUGCAAGCGUUAAUCGGAAUUACUGGGCGUAAAGCGCACGCAGGCGGUCUGUCAAGUCGGAUGUGAAAUCCCCGGGCUCAACCUGGGAACUGCAUUCGAAACUGGCAGGCUAGAGUCGUGUAGAGGGGGGUAGAAGUCCAGGUGUAGCGGUGAAAUGCGUAGAGAUCUGGAGGAAUACCGGUGGCGAAGGCGGCCCCCUGGACAAAGACUGACGCUCAGGUGCGAAAGCGUGGGGAGCAAACAGG